AUGCAUAAUGCCAAGCCAGUAAGUACUCCGUUAGCUGCACACUUCAAGUUAUCAUCAGCCUUAUGUCCUAAGUCAGAUGCAGAUAUUGAGUACAUGUCUAGAGUUCCCUAUUCGAGUGCAGUUGGUUCACUUAUGUAUGCCAUGGUUUGUUCUCGUCCGGAUUUAUCUUAUGCAUUGAAUGUUGUCAGUAGAUACAUGGCUAAUCCUGGAAAAGAGCAUUGGAAAGCAGUUCAGUGGAUUUUCAGAUACCUGCGUGGUACUUCUAAUGCUUAUUUACAGUUUGGGAAAACUGGAGAUGGACUUGUUGGUUUUGUUGAUUCUGAUUUUGCUGGUGAUUUGGAUAAGAGAAGAUCACUCACAGGUUAUGUUUUCACCAUUGGUGGUUGUGAUGUGAGUUGGAGAGCAACUUUGCAGUCUAUUGUGACUUGUUCCACCACUGAUGCCGAGUAUUUGGCUAUUUCUGAGGCAUGCAAAGAAGUUAUCUGGUUGAGAGGUUUGUACACUGAGCUUUGUGGAGAUUCAUCUUGCCCUACCAUAUUUUCUGACAGUCAAAGUGCCAUAUAUCUUACAAAGAAUCCAAUGUAUCAUGAGAGAACAAAGCACAUUGAUGUCAGAUUUCAUUAUAUUCGAGAUGUUGUUGCUGAAGGCGAUUUGAAGGUAUGCAAGAUAAGUACUCAUGAUAAUCCUGCUGAUAUGAUGACAAAGCCAGUUCCGACCAAUAAGUUUGAGCUUUACUCAGGCUUAGUUGGUAUUUCUCACUAG
rnacentral:rRNA from 1 species